GCCAGGCGCAGUGGUGCAUGCCUGUAAUCCCAGCAGCUCAGGAGGCUGAGACAGGAGAAUCGCAAGUUCAAAGUCAGCCUCAGCAAUGGCGAGGUGCUAAGCAACUCAGUUAGACCCUGUCUCUA
rnacentral:sRNA from 1 species